GAAACAACGACCACGGAGCUGCUCAAUUUGUCUGGUACAUGGACCCAUGGCUCCUGAGAGGUGGGAAGGGGCUGCCUGCAUCCGUGGGCCCUGAAUCACCACAUAGAGGAAGAUGCCUCUGCUUCUUGAUGUUGGAGGUCAUUUCUCAGAUGGGAAACUGGAGCUGGCCCAGCCACUCACUCUUUCCUAGUUUGUUCUGUCUCUGAUUGACGAGCAAUGGGAUGAAGCAUGAGGUUGAGGGCGAGAGGGCUGUGUUAUCUCAAGAAGGCCUCUCCGAGGAGCUGAUAUUUGAGCUGAGAUAGUCAUAAACUCUCAGGAUGAGCAGGUGGGUCUUAGAGAUAGAUCUUCCGGUCCAGGCAUCGCCGGGAAUCUUUUAGAGGGCAGGAGGUGUUCCAGUGUAAAUACAAAACAGAGCAAGCAUGACAUGAAAGAGUCUGGUGCUCAGCCUCCAAGCUGAGGGGUGGUCAGGUGUGGCAGGACUGUGGCUACCUGGAGCAUGCAUGCCCUCCUGCAGCGGGCAAAAGCUGCCUCACUCAGCCAACUGCCCAGGCCAGAGUGCAAGCCCUAAGAGGCCAGCCUCCUGAUGCUGCCAAGAGACAGA
rnacentral:lncRNA from 1 species